rnacentral:rRNA from 1 species
UACGAAGGGGGCUAGCGUUGUUCGGAAUUACUGGGCGUAAAGCGCACGUAGGCGGUUUGUUAAGUCGGAUGUGAAAGCCCUCGGCUCAACUGAGGAAGUGCACCCGAAACUGGCAGGCUUGAGUACUAAAGAGGGUCGCGGAAUUCCCGGUGUAGAGGUGAAAUUCGUAGAUAUCGGGAGGAACACCGGUGGCGAAGGCGGCGACCUGGGUAGAUACUGACGCUGAGGUGCGAAAGCGUGGGGAGCAAACAGG